UACAGAGGGGGCAAGCGUUGUUCGGAAUUACUGGGCGUAAAGGGCGCGUAGGCGGCCCGCUAAGUCGAACGUGAAAUCCCCGGGCUUAACCCGGGAACUGCGUCCGAUACUGGCAGGCUUGAAUCCGGGAGAGGGAUGUGGAAUUCCAGGUGUAGCGGUGAAAUGCGUAGAUAUCUGGAGGAACACCGGUGGCGAAGGCGGCAUCCUGGACCGGUAUUGACGCUGAGGCGCGAAAGCGAGGGGAGCAAACGGG
rnacentral:rRNA from 1 species